UUGCUUCUUCCUAGUUAAGCCUGCGGUGU
rnacentral:piRNA from 1 species